rnacentral:lncRNA from 1 species
UAAGCUUUAUAUAUCAAAAAGCGAUAAAAUCAUAUUCUAUUUAUACAUGCAACAGUUGUAAAAUAUGAAUAAAAUUGAAAAGUUUGUUUAUAAUAUAAUUAUCCUUCUUUCCCUAUUUCUUGUUUCAACAAGCUCUCAAGGUAAAUAAUUUUAUCUCCUUUGCAAAUUUCCUUCCAUUCUUCCUACACAAUAUUUUAUCUCAUUUUAAUAAUAUUAAUUUUUGUUUCUCUUUUUAGAUAUUCGAUGUGUCUUACCAAAACGAAAAAAUAUUCAUUGUCUUCGUAAAGGUGAUUGUCCAUACAAUUUUUGCCCAUAUCCUACAAACACAAAGUGUAUUAAUGGUUUUUGUCAUUGUAGUAAUUAAUUAAUUAAAUAUAAAGCUCUAUAGGUACCUAUGAGUUGUAAUGUAGUUAUUGUGGUAACUAAUAAUUUAAUUUUCUUUUAACUUUUAAAAUUUCAUGAACCUUUUUUGUACUAUAAUAUGAUGCAACAGAAAUGAAAUAACGCAUCAAAGAAUAUUAUUUAUACUCUCGUGUCCAUUUGUCCCUUUUUUUAAUGAAAGAUAGUUGUUGACUAGCAACUGCACUAGUUUAUCGUUCAAGUAGUAAUAAAGAUCGAACCUCGAGGAUUGUGUUAACUAAUACAAUGGCAAAUCGAAUCAUUCUUAGUUAUAAAUACAAAGAUUGGGGGUGUUGCAUAUCACAAUCUUUCAACCACAAAUCAAUUAAAAGCAAAUGAACGUUUUGUUCAAAUUUGAGAAAGUUGCAUUGGAUUUCCUUUGGAUUCUUCAAUUACACGGAAUUGUAACUUUUGUACGUAAAUGAAUCAUUGAAAUCCAAUGUGCACCUUAANNNNNNNNNNNNNNNNNNNNNNNNNNNNNNNNNNNNNNNNNNNNNNNNAAUCCCAACCAUUAAUUUUGAUCAUGUGGCUGUUAUUUAAUGCUCUCAUCUCUCAUAAUAACACUUCCUCUCACUUGAUAUAUAUUGCCAUUAAAAAAAAAGUAAAAAAGGAAAUGAAUUUUCUUUUGAAAAUUUAGGCAUAAUGGUUAUCUUGUAGUUAAAUAUAAUUUUCCCCUUCAAAUUCAAUUAAUUAAUAAUCAAAUCUAAAAUCAAUGGACAUUUGAUGAUGUGCGAGGAGAGUGUCUCUGUUGAAGAUUUUGAAGGAUGAAUGCUAUUGUAGAAAAAUUCAGAUCUUGAUAAUUUAAGUCUAUAAAUCUUAAAAUUUAAAAUGAUUGCUGAUUUUGUUUUUCUUUCACCAUAGUGAAGAAGAAGAAGGAGAAAAAAUAAUUGAGUGUGAUUUUUCAAAAACUAAACAAUGAGAGUUGAUAUAGUGUUGAGGGUCCAUGAUAAGAUCUUGUGAGAUAAUUUGACCUAAAAAUUAAAAUAUGUGGUACACAAUACAAGACAUGAGAAUGUCUUUUAUGUUAGAAUAAGCAUUUUAAUAUAAGUGGGAGAAUAGGAAAGAAAAUGUGAUAUUUUUUAAUUGAUAUUAAAGGAGAAUCCAAUACUAGUAAUACACAUAAUAUUCUUUAAUACUUUAUUUCAUUUCAGUAGCAUCAUAUUAUUUUAUUAUAGUACAUAAUAAUAAGGUCCGUGAAAUUUGAAAGCUAAAAGAAAAUUAAAUUAAUGGGUGUCACAUAACAACUCAGAAUCUAUAUGGUGCUUAAUAAUUAAUAACGACAAACACACUUAUUUUUAAGACACCUCGGUUUAGAAGGAUAUGGGCAUCGUAGCUCGAUACAAUCUUUAGCAUAAACACAUUCAUGUCCCACUAUAAUGUAAAAAAGUGAGAAAAUAAAAUUUUAUUAAAAUGGAAUAAAAUAGUGUGUACGACGGAAAUAAGGAAAUUUGUAAGGGAGAUAAAAAUGCUUACAUUUAAUACUUGUUGCAACAAGAAAUAGGGAAAGAAGAAUAAUAAUCAUAACACAAAUAAACUCGAUAAUUUUAAACAUAUUUUCCAACCUUUGCAUGUAUCAAAUAGAAUAUGAUUUUAUCACUUUAUAAUUUAUGGAAUUUAUGUUCUCCUUACAUUAAUU